GACGAACGCUAGCGGGAUGCCUUACACAUGCAAGUCGAACGGAGUGGCGAACGGGUGAGUAAUGUAUCGGAACGUGCCCAGUAGCGGGGGAUAACUACGCGAAAGCGUAGCUAAUACCGCCUACUCUUGUAGCGGCCGAUAUCGGAGUAGCUAGUUGGUGGGGUAACGGCUCACCAAGGCGACGAGCCGUAGCUGGUUUGAGAGGACGACCAUCCAGACUGGGACUGAGACUCGGCCCAGACGCGUACGGGAGGCAGCAGUGGGGAAUUUUGGACAAUGGGGGAAACCCUGAUCCAUCCAUCCCGCGUGUGCGAUGAAGGCCUUCGGGUUGUAAAGCACUUUUGGCAGGAAAGCGGGACCUGCAGAAUAAGCACCGGCUAACUACGUGCCAGCAGCCGCGGUAAUUC
rnacentral:rRNA from 1 species